rnacentral:lncRNA from 1 species
UGAUGGUUUUACCGUUCCACAGAUUAUUGAAAUGGAGCUGGAUAACCAGGAGCAGUUGUUGUUACAGGACCCGCCUGUGACUUACAUCCAGCAGUUUGCAGAUGCAGCAGCCAGUCUCACCUCUCCAGAUUCCGAGAAGUGGAACUCUGUGUUCCCCAAGCCUGGGACUUUGGUGCAGUGCUUGAGGCUACCAAAGUUUGCAGAGGAGGAGACUCUUUGUAUAGACUCUAUAACUCCGUGUGCUGACGGAGUCCAUUUGUUGGUCGGACUGCGGACAUGCUCUGUGGAAUCAUUGAGUGCAAUAAAUCAAGUUGAGGCCUUGAAUAAUUUAAAUAAAUUAAACUCUGCACUAUGUAAUAGACGUAAAGGUGAUCUGGAAUCCAAUCUUGCUGUAGUGAAUGG